UAUAUAUUACCUCCGUCCCAAAAAGCUUGUCUUACAUUUAUCCGUAUCUAGAACGUGUCUAGAUACAUCCGUAUCCAGACAAAUCUAAGACAAGCUUUUUGGGACGGAGGGAGUAGUAU
rfam:Triticum aestivum genome assembly, contig: Triticum_aestivum_CS42_TGACv1_scaffold_321237_4BL